GAAAAAGCAAGGAAUGAGGGUAAGGAGGAGAAAAGAAAGAAGGAAAAAUUGGAAAGAUAAAUGGGGUUUUCCAGUGAAGGUAAGACAGCAACGGUUGGAUUAAUUAAUGAUUAAUAACAAGCAAAAAUUAGUGAAAAUGGAGCAGCAUACCUAAUAUUACCUAGAUAUUUGUAUUUAAAUUUUAUUAUGCAUCAUGUUUCCUAUUUGAAAAUAAUGUUUUCAUAAUCAGCAAAACUACAAAACAAUUUAGAUGUAAGCAACAGUCUUCCUUGCCCUAAAAUUUCAUCUGGGAGUAGAUUCUAGAAUGUUUUAGGAAGACUUAAGGAUACAUUCCUAGCCAUUUUAAAAUUAAAAU
rnacentral:lncRNA from 1 species